rnacentral:lncRNA from 1 species
UUCUACCUGCAACGUCUAGAAUUAGGGCCUCAUCUAUGGCAACUAUAGAAUGUAUAGAAUGUAUACUUGUAAAAAUAUCUCAGCAGAGUCAAUAAAGGUGAAGAGUUUGACGAGCAUGGUUGGGUACAUAAAAACCUGUUUCACGGUCUAAUCAGAAUGAAUGUAAAAUAUAUAUACAUAUAUUUAUAUCUGUACACAAAGUCUACAUAUGCACCUAUAUGUAUUAUAUGUACAUAGAUAUGUGUAUGUAAAUAUGGAUGUAUACCUAAAUAUGCAUGUAUGUAUUUGUGUGUGUAUAUAUAGUCAUAUAUACUCGCACCUUGUCACAUGUGUGCACAUACUUAUAAUUUAUACAUUUAAAAUUGCAUAACAUGUGAAUAUAUGUACAUAUACAUAAUGCUAAAUACAAUUUUAGUUAUGUGCAACAAGUACAUAGAAAAAUAUAAUGAACUCUCAGACUUAGUUAUUAAAAGCUUUAAAACUUUCAGUAAAUAGUUGCUUUUGUUCAAAAAUAUAAACCCUCAUAUUUUGUUUUAAAGCUAAUUCCAGAUACUAUAUUAUUUUCUACAAUUUAAUGAAUAUUUUUAAUAUUGAAAAUUCUACUUAUUCCACUUUAAAUCAACAGAAAUAUCUGUAAUUUAAAGAGCAAAUACUUAAAAGAGUGUCAUUAUUUUUUUCAUUAUGUAAGACUUUUGCUCUUGAACAUUCCUUCACAGCCUUUUUGUCUGAAAUAUACAUUUACAUUUUAUUUUUCACUUAAAAUAAAUUCAAAGCAUUUUCUCUUUAACUUAGAUGAUGAAGUUUUCAAAGGUGAACUCCUCAAGUUGUUGUGGGGCUAAAAGAGAGAAACAUCGCUGAUGCAUUUUCUUUCAUUUUUAUUUUACUUCUUGAAAUCUUAUUUUGUUAAUUUGCCAUUUGAUGAUGAAUUUCCUUCAAUGAGUAAAUGAUCUUGAAACUCUUGUUGUAAUGAAUGAUGCUAUGCUGAAAAGUGAGAAUGUUCCGCUUUGUGGUUCAUUUCUGUGAUGAAGAAGACCACACAAAAUAACCCUUCCCAGCUGCAUCCUCUGAAUGGAUCGCCAAAGUGACUAUCUUUUUCUGUUACAAGUGCUACAGUCCCUCAAGUAACAUUACCACAGAUUCAUCAGCCAGCCUGAGACAGUAAAUAAAGGAGAGUGAAACAUCCCUGGGGACAUGGAGUCUUGACUCUGGUUUGAAUGGUAUAUCAUUCUGAGGAUUCACACAUUUAUUGACCCCCCCCCAAAAAGGGGGUCAACAUGAUAAUGCAGUGUGUAUUGAUUUGGUUCAACUCAGAAAUUGCUCAUUUAUUGCUUAUAUUUAUGUAAAUAAAGCAAUAGCCUUUCAUCUUCCAAUUUCAACAUGUUACUGAACUAAUGUGGU